rnacentral:rRNA from 1 species
GAUGAACGCUGGCGGCGUGCUUAACACAUGCAAGUCGAACGGAACUACUCCAAUGAGAGUCUUCGGAAAGGAUUUGGUUUAGUUUAGUGGCGGACGGGUGAGUAACGCGUGGGUAACCUGCCCUAUACAGGGGGAUAACAGUUGGAAACGACUGUUAAUACCGCGUAAGCGCACAGGAGCGCAUGCUCCGGUGUGAAAAACUCCGGUGGUAUAGGAUGGACCCGCGUCUGAUUAGCUGGUUGGCGGGGUAACGGCCCACCAAGGCGACGAUCAGUAGCCGGCCUGAGAGGGUGAACGGCCACAUUGGGACUGAGACACGGCCCAAACUCCUACGGGAGGCAGCAGUGGGGAAUAUUGCACAAUGGGGGAAACCCUGAUGCAGCGACGCCGCGUGAGCGAAGAAGUAUCUCGGUAUGUAAAGCUCUAUCAGCAGGGAAGAAAAUGACGGUACCUGACUAAGAAGCCCCGGCUAACUACGUG